CUACGGGGGGCAGCAGUGAGGAAUAUUGCACAAUGGGGGGAACCCUGAUGCAGCAACGCCGCGUGGAGGAUGACGCAUUUCGGUGUGUAAACUCCUUUUAUAUGUCAAGAAAAUGACGGUAGCAUAUGAAUAAGCACCGGCUAACUCCGCUGCCAGCAGCCGCGGUAAUACGGAGGGUGCAAGCGUUACUCGGAAUCACUGGGCGUAAAGGACGCGUAGGCGGGUUGGAAAGUCAGGUGUGAAAUCCUACAGCUUAACUGUAGAACUGCACUUGAAACUUCUAAUCUAGAGUAUGGGAGGGGGAGAUGGAAUUAGUGGUGUAGUGGUAAAAUCCGUAGAUAUCACUAGGAAUACCUAAAGCGAAGGCGAUCUCCUGGAACAUUACUGACGCUAAGGCGUGAAAGCGUGGGGAGCAAACAGGAUUAGAUACCCUCGUAGUC
rnacentral:rRNA from 1 species